rnacentral:tRNA from 1 species
AGCAGCGUAGCUCAGUGGAAAGAGCACGGGCUUGGGAGUCAGAGGUCAUGGGUUCGAAUCCCACCUCUGCCA